AGGACAUUCAUCCAAUACAAACAACCACAAGAUACUAUUUUCCCCUCACUGAAGAUUUAUGGGAAGUCAAAAGUCUUAUUAUGGGAAUUGCAAAAGUUCAUCAAUGGAUCUCAGGCACACACUAACAUCACUCAUCUGUGCUGAAGUGCAGAGGAAGAGACACUCGGCCUUUUGUGACUGCCAUCAUAAUACUGCCAGCACCCAUAAUAGUAAUUGACAAGGUGCAGAAAGAAGGUGAAAAUGGAUAGUAACAUUGGACUGGUAGAUGGCAUGCUCUAUCAAUCCCUAUUAUUAUUGCUCAUGUUUGUAGAAUUUUAGGUAAAGUAUUUUGUAUAGAAGAUCAUUCUUGUAAAAAAGUUCUCGUAAAAUACAAAUUUU